rnacentral:rRNA from 1 species
UACGAGGGGGGCGAGCGUUGUUCGGAAUUAUUGGGCGUAAAGAGCUCGUAGGCGGUUUGUCGCGUCUGCUGUGAAAACUGGAGGCUCAACCUCCAGCCUGCAGUGGGUACGGGCAAACUAGAGUGCGGUAGGGGAGAUUGGAAUUCCUGGUGUAGCGGUGGAAUGCGCAGAUAUCAGGAGGAACACCGAUGGCGAAGGCAGAUCUCUGGGCCGUAACUGACGCUGAGGAGCGAAAGCAUGGGGAGCGAACAGG